rnacentral:rRNA from 1 species
UAGGCCGGGUGUGUAAGCGUAGCGAUACGUUGAGCUAACCGGUACUAAUGAACCGUGCGGCUUAACCUGACAACACCGAAGGUGUUU